GCUUGCGGGACUGCGUCGAAUCGUCUCCAUUCGCUAUUGGUUAACGCUGGCGUCCCUCCAGGCGGCGCUCUAUGACGAUGCCAAACCAACUCUACUCCCGCGAUACUGAAACAAGGAGCAAUGCCUAUUCACUCUUUUAUUAAACUUACCUUCCCGGACUCUAAACCUCUUCUUUCAUAUUCCCGAUACCAUACAAAAUAUUUUGUCUUCACUUAACAUAAACAAGAAUCAUUCGAGUCUGCAUUUAAAGCAAGUAAUGAGACUGUAAUUAGAACACACUUUCUGAAAGAUGGAUUAGAUGUUAAAAAUUGGAAAAUGUCUGCAUCAGACUGCAGAUGGCAACAGUAUUGGAAUUUCCUGUUGGCUGUUUCCUGGGGCUCAGUUCUGCCAUGUUUGUCUCGUGUUUGUUGAGUAAUGCAGUACUGUCAAUCUGAUGUUCAAAAGUAAACUGUUCCUGUAAACAUUAUCAAUGUUAUAAUUGUGUUUAAUUUUGAUGUUCACAAAAUAUACUCCUCCCUAUUUUAAAUACAGAAUCUAUCUUCUUUCCUGAAUGCAUCACUAAUAACUGUUGAGCUCCUAUAUAUAUCAGGUCAACAACAGUGAUACAGCAAUAUUAAAUGGAUUUAUCAGAAAACCUAACAAAAUAUGUGUAUAACCAUUAGGAAAGGCAUUUUGUACCAGAAUAAGGUUGCAUCAACAUAGUUCAUCAAACUUUUUCAUCAUAUUUUGUAAACGUUUAAAGUAUUGAUAUAUAUAUCACCAAAUAAAAUUAAUUUUUUGUCCCACUUAUCUAAUUAAAUACUCAGAAUAAUUUACAGAUUUAUUAUAUUAGUAUCAUAUUUUGAAGAAGUAUUUAAUAUUGGGAAUGUGGAAAAUAAGGCCAGGAAGUGGAAGCCAGUUGUUAUAAAUGUUAAAAACCGAAGGAAUUGCGGCAAAUAUUUGACAAUAAAGAUGCAGUUAGUCAGAUUAGAGGCAACUAAAAGGUUCAACUGUCAUCAAAUAUACAUAGAUAAGACACUUAAAGAAAGGGUCACAGAGUACUGCUGAAAAAAAUUGCUGAAAUCUUAACACAACAGCAAUAGCUCAUGAGAAAUUUUGAACUUGAAAGUUGAAUUUAGAUAACAAGAAGUACUUUUCUUGUUAUCUAAAUUGAUUACAGAAAAUGAAACUUACUAUGUGAGCAAUGAAAAUCAAGCAUCUCCCAAAGUAAAGUACAAAUUUCUUCUUAAAUUUGAAGCAAAAGUCAUGCUGUGUAUUAGUU